GCAAUCGAUUCUCUUGGAUUUCCUUGGGCGUUCCAUCUUGGUCUAAACCUUCGUCCUACUCUGUACUCUCCUCUCUCCGGCGCGCUUCUUUGCUCUGAAUUCCAGCUCUCCGCUUCAGUAUGGCGAAGGAGGUCUAUACCAGGGAAGACUUACUUGAGCUGUUGCAGGAUCUUCAAGUUGAUUUUUCCAGGUACGAACAUCCUGCUGUAUUGACAGUUGAAGCUCAGGCAAAAUAUGUUGGAAAUUUGGGGGGUGGACUCAGUAAGAAUCUGUUUUUGAAGGACAAAAAGAAUAGAUACUACAUUGUUUCUGCAUUGGCAGACACCAAAGUGGAUCUAAAAGUUCUAUCUGUGAGACUUGGUUUGGGUAAAGGUGGUCUGAGAAUGGCUCCCGAGGAAGCAUUGGGUGAGAAACUUAAGGUGUCCCUGGGUUGUGUUACUCCAUUUGCACUCAUCAAUAAAACAGCACGGGAUGUCGCCUUGUUGUUGGACCAGGGAUUUAAAGGCCAGGAAUUUUGCUUCUUUCAUCCUUUGUCAAACGAAACAUCAAUAUCCAUUAAUACCAGUAAUCUUGACAAGUUCCUUCAAUCGAUUGGGAGAGACCCUUCAUAUGUUGACUUGGAGGCUAAUCCUUCUGUAGGAAAGGAUCAACCCCCAGAUCUUGCCGGACUUGUUCCAUCUGGUUCUGCCCUUCUGCCUGAUACUCCAGAGAAAGUAUCUUCUCGCCCAGAUUCUAAUGAAAAUCAUGGUGUUACCGACAAGAAGUCUAAAGCAGUUGCAGUGAACACAGUCAAACCAUCUACCACUGUGAAAGUUGGAAAGGACAAACCUACACCCAAUGGUCGACCAACCUAUGCAAAUGUGGAAAAAUUUGUGGAAGAGAUCCUUGAUAAGACGUCGGCAAUAGUGCUCUCAGAGCUGACAGAGGAGACAGUUAAUAAACAUGGAGAGCAUCUGGGAGCCGUGGUGUCAAACAGCAUUAAGAGACAUCUCAGCUCGGAAUUGAACAAUCUUUCUAUGAUAUUUAAGAACGUUGCAUACACAGAAGGGUUUCAUGCUGGGUCUUCCCAUAAAGUGAAACAUGCAUGCUGAUAUCUGCCUGUGGUUCCAAGUAACCAGAGAAGAGAACUUGGACAGAAGGCGGAUCAAAGAGUUGAAUCAUCUGAUUAGUGCUUUUGUUGAGACCGUAGAAUAAUUAGAAGAUAUUUGAAAGAAGGCAAUGAAGUGGCAUGCCAUACCAAAUGUGUACCAUGGUAAUGAAUCUAAAGAAUACAUUUUUUGUUUCCAGUGUCUUCGUACAUGCACACACGUGUUUACAUUUCUAGCGAAGAGUUUCAAGUAAAAUCCAAGUUAUUUGCAGCAUAAACAUCGACAUUAGAAGGGCUGAGGAAGCGAGGUAGGAUGAACCACCCCUUGAAUUAAUUUCUGGAAAAUGGAAUAAAAUAUCUGAGUCAGAAUCCGUGAUGGAUUAAAAGAACCAUUUUUAUUUGUUUACUUUCUAUACUUUUAUUUUCAAUUUAGUAGAAUUCGUCAAA